GAUGAACGCUGGCGGCGUGCCUAAUACAUGCAAGUCGAGCGAACGGACGAGAAGCUUGCUUCUCUGAUGUUAGCGGCGGACGGGUGAGUAACACGUGGAUAACCUACCUAUAAGACUGGGAUAACUUCGGGAAACCGGCGCUAAUACCGGAUAAUAUUUUGAACCGCAUGGUUCAAAGGUAAAAGACGGUCUUGCUGUCACUUAUAGAUGGAUCCGCGCUGCAUUAGCUAGUUGGUAAGGUUACGGGUUACCAAGGCUACGAGGCGUAGCCGAACUGACAGAGGGAUCGGCCACACGGGAACUGAGACAGGGUCCAGACUACUGAGGUAGGCAGCAGUAGGGAAUCGGCGGCAAUGGGCGAAAGCCUGACGGAGCAACGGCGCGUGUGAUAUGAAGGUGUUCGGAUCGUAAAACUCGGUUAUGAGGUAAGAACAUAUGUGUAAGGAACUGUGCACAGCGUGACGGUACCUAAUCAGAAAGCCACGGCUAACUACGUG
rnacentral:rRNA from 1 species